rnacentral:rRNA from 1 species
AGGAUAAACGCUGGCGGCGUGCCUAACACAUGCAAGUCGAACGCGCUUUCGGGCUUCGGUGCGAGAGCGAGUGGCGGACGGGUGAGUAACACAUGGGUACCUACCUUGGAGUGAGGGAUACCGGCGAGAAAUCGCCGACAAUACCGCAUAGGCUUCUUCACAAGGGAAGCAAAGUGACGCGAGUCACGCUGUGAGAUGGGCCUGUGGCCGAUUAGCUAGUUGGGGGGGUAACGGCUUCCCAAGGCGACGAUCGGUAGCUGGUCUGAGAGGACGAUCAGCCACACUGGGAUUGAGAACGGCCCAGACUCCUACGGGGGGCAGCAGUGAGGAAUUUUCCGCAAUGGAGGCAACUCUGACGGAGCAACGCCGCGUGCAGGAGGAAGGUUUUCGGAUCGUAAACUGCUUUUCUCGGGGACGAGCAAGGACGGUACCCAAGGAAGAAGCCCCGGCUAACGUACGUGCCAGCAGCCGC